rnacentral:rRNA from 1 species
AGUCGAACGGGGUUACUCUAGCUAGCAAUAGCCGGAUUAACCUAGUGGCAUACGGGUGCGUAACACGUAGGAAUCUACCCAGAAGUUGGGGAUAGCUCACCGAAAGGUGAAUUAAUACCCGAUGUGAAAUUCGUUUUAAAGCAGGGGACCUUCGGGCCUUGCGCUUCUGGACGAGCCUGCGGCCUAUCAGCUUGUUGGUGAGGUAAUGGCUCACCAAGGCAAUGACGGGUAGCCGGUCUGAGAGGAUGGUCGGCCACACUGGAACUGAGACACGGUCCAGACACCUACGGGUGGCAGCAGUCGAGAAUCAUUCGCAAUGGGGGAAACCCUGACGGUGCGACGCCGCGUGGAGGAUGAAGGCUUUCGGGUUGUAAACUCCUGUCACCAGAGAACAAGGAUGCUGAUCUAAUCACUCAGCAUUUGAUGGUAUCUGGAGAGGAAGGGACGGCUAACUCUGUGCCAGCAGCCGCGGUAAUACAGAGGUCCCGAGCGUUGUUCGGAUUCACUGGCCGU